GCUCGAUAACGGCAAACCACAUCGAAAGGGUGGGACGCAAAGCCACUGGCCUGAUGCCUUUUAGUAAAAGGUUACGGCAGCAGGGUUGCCGGG
rnacentral:ncRNA from 1 species